rnacentral:lncRNA from 1 species
ACCUUCAAGGUUAGCAGGAGAAUUUCACUCACUCCAGUCUGCUGAGAUAGAGAUGUUGUUGUUGUUGUUGUUGUUGCUGUUGCUGUUGUUGUUGUUGUUGUUGUUGUUGACAGAGCCAGCCCCUGUCUCAAACAAAAAUAAAAUAACAAAAAUGAAGCUGACACUGGGCACACUGCCUGUGAGCACAAAAAGCAAAAAAAUGAAACCAUUCCCAAUACAUACAAAUGAAAAAAUACUUGAGGUGAUGGAUACACCAAAUACCCUGACUUGAUCAUUGCACACUCUACGAGCAUAACAAAAUGUUACAUGUACCCCAUAAAUACAUACAAAUAUUAUGUAUAAAUUUAAAAAUGUUUUAAAUGAAACCACAACUACCAUAAUUGCUCUAGUAGGUAUCAUGGAAGAUUGUAGUUAAUUAUCUCAAACCGGGAGGACAGAUACCCUUCUAAGCAUAAACCAAACCCAGAAACCAUAGAAGAAAGGACUGAUGAAUUUAACCAUAUAAAAAUAAAAGAAAUUCUAAAUGGCAAAACUUAUGAUAGCAAGAUUAAAAAAAAAGUCAAACAAAGGACAUGCUGAAUGAAACAAUUUACAAUUCAUAUGGCAAAAGGCUAAUUUCCCUAAUAUACAAAGAACUCCUACAAAUCAAUAAGAAAAAGACCAUCAUCCCAAUUUUAAAAUGAACAAAAGACAGAAAUAGCGAACAGUAAAAUAAAUACAUGGCCCUAAGCUCAUGAAAAUAUCCUUAACUUCACUCAUAGUAGGAAAAAUACAAAGUAAUACUAUAUUUAAAAACCAUUUUUCAGCUGGGUGUGGUGGCUUACAUAUGUAAUCCCAGCAUUUUGGGAGACUGAGGCAGGAGGAUCACUUGAAGCCAGGAGUUCGAGACCAGCCUGUGCAACAUAGUGAGACCCAACUUUCCAAAAAAAAAAAAAAAUUAGCUGGGUGUGGUGGCAUGUGCCUGUAGUCCCAGCUACUUGCAAGGGUGAAAUGGGAAGAUUGCUUGAGCUCGUGAGGUGGAGUUUAUAGUGAGCCAAGAUCACACCACUGCACUCCAGCCUGGGUGAUGGAGCGAGAUCCUAUCUCAAAAAAAAAAAAAAAACACCAUUUUUCAAUAUAACAAACUGAUGGCCAGAGUAUGAGGAAAUAGAUACUCUCUUAUAUUACUGGCGAAACCAUCAAAAGAGGGCAAUUUGGCAAAAUCCAUUAAAGUUAUUUAUAUUUGUACAAUUUGACCCAGCAAAAGAAAUGUAUCUUACAGAUAUACUAGCAAUAUAAAAAGGGUUAUUGAUAGCAGCAUUCUUUUUAAUGGCAAAGUAUUUUAAAUGACCUAAAUGUCAACCAGUAUGGAACUAGUUAAAUAAAGUAUGGUUUUUUCAGUGUAAUACAGUGGAGUUAUUUUUUAAAUGGGGGAGAUUCCACUUCCAAAUGGCAGUGUGAGGAGCUCCACAGAUCCACUUCCCAGUGAAACUCCCUAGUUGGUAAAAAUUACACACACACACACACACACACACACACACACACACACUUAAACUCUCUGGAAAUUGCCCUAAGGGCAUAGAGCAAAUGAAUAAAUAUUUAUGCAAGAAAACCUACUAAAUCACAGUAAGAAGAAGAGUCUGGGAUACCUGAGAAAUGACCCACACC